UUGUGGAGGAGGACGCCGAAGGUGGGGCUAAUGACUGGGGUGAAGUCGUAACAAGGUAGCCGUACCGGAAGGUGCGGCUGGAUCACCUCCUAACAGGGAGACAACAAAAUGUUUAAUAUUAUUAUUUUGUCACCUUAGGUCGAUCGGUAUCUCACGUUUUUAAUUUAUUAAGAAUUUCAUUUCCUAAGUUUUUCUAGGUCACACCCAUUAUUUUUCCUGGGCCAUUAGCUCAGGUGGUUAGAGCGCACCCCUGAUAAGGGUGAGGUCCCUGGUUCAAGUCCAGGAUGGCCCAUAUCUCUAUGUUGGGGGUAUAGCUCAGUUGGUAGAGCGCCUGCUUUGCAAGCAGGAUGUCAGCGGUUCGAGUCCGCUUACCUCCACUGAUCACCACCUCUUCCAUAAUCGGUAGAAAGGAAAUUUUUUGAAUUGUGAUCAAAUUCUGAAAGAAUCUAGCUUCCUAAUGAAAUCAUUAAGAUGCUGGACUCAUUGAAUUAAUUUCAUUGUUUUCAGAGAACCUUGACAACUGCAUAGAUUAUUUUUAAAGACAAUAAGCAUCUUUAAUGAUGCAGAUUUAUUAUUUGUGCAAAUGCAUUAAUAACAAUUCUAUUAAGCUGAUGCUUCAAUAUUUGAAGUUAUUGGUCAAGCUACAA
rnacentral:misc_RNA from 1 species